rnacentral:rRNA from 1 species
GACGAACGCUGGCGGCGUGCUUAAUACAUGCAAGUCGAACGGAAAGGCCCGGCUUUUGCGGGGUGCUCGAGUGGCGAACGGGUGAGUAACACGUGAGUAACCUGCCCUUGACUUUGGGAUAACUUCAGGAAACUGGGGCUAAUACCGCAUAGGAGCUCCUGCUGCACGGGGGUGGAUGGUAAGUUUCGGCGGUUGGGGAUGGACUCGAGGCUUAUCAGCUUGCUGGUGGGGUAGUGGCUUACCAAGGCUUUGACGGGUAGCCGGCCUGAGAGCGUGACCAGCCACAUUGGGACUGGGAUACGGCGCCGACUCCUACGGGAGGCAACGGUGGGGAAUAUUGCACAAUGGGCGGAAGCCUGAUGCAGCAACGCCGCGUGCGGAAUGACGGCCUUCGGGUUGUAAACCGCUUUCGCCUGUGACAAAGCGUGCGUGACGGUAAUGGGUAAGAAAGCACCGGCUAACUACGUG